rnacentral:lncRNA from 1 species
ACAAUAUACCCAGGAUACAUACAUGACCUGAUGUCAGGACAUCCUGUGGCCCAGGAAAGUUGACACAUACAAUGAACCAUCACAUUGACCAAGAGCCAGAAAAUAUGGAAAAAGAGCCAUCCAAUGAGCACGACAAAGGAGCAGAAUUCCUAGGCAAAAGGAUACUGGGAGAACAGGAGGAGCAUGCUCAAGGACACAACAUAGAUGGUCACUCCCGCCUUUUGAGCUCUUUGUAAAACUGCCAUAAGAGGCUGCAGUUCAGUGACAAAGUAAUGCAACUUGGCAAGGAAAAGAGUAAAGCCUGGUGAUGAGAAGAAAAAAUGCAAGAAAAUGAAAAUCAGGAGUCAAACAAUGUAGAACAGCUUCUUACCCCCAUCCAUACCCCAUGGCCCAGGCCCUCAGCAUUGAUGGCAUUGUCUCUGCACAGCCAGAAUUUUAGGAAAUGCAUGCCAAUAUUGACAUUACCUCACGUAAUGAAAUCAAGAUUGGAGGCUGGCCCAGUGAUGGCCCAUCUGGAGAAGAGCCUCACGCCAAAGCUGCUAUCUCCCUUUUCCCUUUUUCUUCACACCUCACACUGAGCAUGUACUGCAUCCCGACUGACAGGACCCUCUUACUUCAGACUCUGAUGCCUCCUGAUCCCAAGCUAUACUCUGGGAGCUACCGCAAGGACAAGAAGUACUAUCGUGGUGAUUAUGGUGGUGGAUGCUGUACUUUUUCGAUAGCUUCCCUUCCAGCUUGGGAUAAGAAGAGUAAAUGCGGCUCUUCUUGUGUUUCUUAUAGUCUCCCUUCCAAGGCCAGGGCAUGUCACAGAGCCCGGCAGGACUGA